rnacentral:rRNA from 1 species
AACGAACGCUGGCGGCAGGCCUAACACAUGCAAGUCGAGCGGACCUUUCGGGGUCAGCGGCGGACGGGUGAGUAACGCGUGGGAAUAUGCCCUUCUCUACGGAAUAGUCCUGGGAAACUGGGGGUAAUACCGGAUACGCCCUUUGGGGGAAAGAUUUAUCGGGGAAGGAUUAGCCCGCGUUGGAUUAGGUAGUUGGUGGGGUAAUGGCCUACCAAGCCGACGAUCCAUAGCUGGUUUGAGAGGAUGAUCAGCCACACUGGGACUGAGACACGGCCCAGACUCCUACGGGAGGCAGCAGUGGGGAAUCUUAGACAAUGGGGGCAACCCUGAUCUAGCCAUGCCGCGUGAGUGAUGAAGGCCUUAGGGUUGUAAAGCUCUUUCAGCUGGGAAGAUAAUGACGGUACCAGCAGAAGAAGCCCCGGCUAACUCCGUG